CUAACGUCCGUCGUGAAGAGGGAAACAACCCAGACCGCCAGCUAAGGUCCCAAAGUCAUGGUUAAGUGGGAAACGAAGUGGGAAGGCUCAGACAGCCAGGAUGUUGGCUUAGAAGCAGCCAUCAUUUAAAGAAAGCGUAAUAGCUCACUGGUCGAGUCGGCCCGCGCGGAAGAUGUAACGGGGCUAAACCAUGCACCGAAGCUGCGGCAGCGAACGUAUCACUUAAAUUUGUUUGAGUGAAUAACGAUUGACGGAACGAAGUGACGUCAAUGCGUUAAUGAAAGUCGAGGCGAAAGCACGACAAAGCGAAUUUAAGGAUACGUUCGUUGGGUAGGGGAGCGUUCUGUAAGCCUGCGAAGGUGUACUGUGAGGUAUGCUGGAGGUAUCAGAAGUGCGAAUGCUGACAUAAGUAACGAUAAUGCGGGUGAAAAACCCGCACGCCGGAAGACCAAGGGUUCCUGUCCAACGUUAAUCGGGGCAGGGUGAGUCGACCCCUAAGGCGAGGCUGAAAAGCGUAGUCGAUGGGAAACGGGUUAAUAUUCCCGUACUGGUGGUAACUGCGAUGGGGGAACGGAGAAGGCUAGGUUGUCCGGGCGACGGUCGUCCCGGUUCAAGCAGGUAGGCAGAGUGAUUAGGCAAAUCCGGUCACUUAAUGCUGAGAUGUGAUGACGAGCCACUA
rnacentral:rRNA from 1 species